AUCUAGAUAAAGUCCAUGUUGCAGCUUUUCCCAUUUCCUCUUUCUUUUUCUUAAGGCAGCAUGACGUAGAAAGAACUUGGGCUCUGAAAUCAGAUGUAUCUGCGUCCAGAUCGCGCUCUCCCUUUAUCCAGCCGCAUGACCCUGGAGAGCUAGUUACCACUGCUGUACUCUGUGAAGCAGGCAUCAGUGGCUCACGUGCCCCAAGUGGGGGGGACGGACAUCUCAGGCUGAACCUACUACCACAUCUUACCCCGAGCCGCACUCAUUGAAUUUAUACUCCAGUCAGACCGAACCAGUCCUUCCUUGGGGAAUCAGUGAACUUCGCUGGAAAGAGAGGCGCUUCCUCUCUGCGGGCCUGUGCUCUCAGAGCCGCAGGUGCUCCUGCAUGUGGCAAAGCCUGUCUACACCGGAGAGCAUUCAGUCACCGUGCAGCAUCUGAGGGUCUAGUUCUGGUGACUGCGGCCCUGGAGCAGCCCCCAAGCCUUCCUCCCUAAGCCCAGGCCUUGGGCAUCUCUUCCUUGACUCCUAAGCUCCAUUCCCACCGCACCCCAUGCAUGCUCUGUAGGCCACAGACCUCCAACCCCCUUACACUUCAAACUAGAUCAAGAAUCAAAAGAGUUCUGCCUAAUAUAGUAAUCAUUAUUA